rnacentral:rRNA from 1 species
GACGAACGCUGGCGGCGUGCUUAACACAUGCAAGUCGUACGGUAAGGCCCUUUCGGGGGUACACGAGUGGCGAACGGGUGAGUAACACGUGAGUAACCUGCCCACAACUUUGGGAUAACGCUAGGAAACUGGUGCUAAUACUGGAUAUGUGCUCCUGCUGCAUGGUGGGGGUUGGAAAGCUCCGGCGGUUGUGGAUGGACUCGCGGCCUAUCAGCUUGUUGGUGGGGUAGUGGCCUACCAAGGCGGCGACGGGUAGCCGGCCUGAGAGGGUGACCGGCCACAUUGGGACUGAGAUACGGCCCAGACGCCUACGGGAGGCAGCAGGGGGGAAUAUUGCACAAUGGGCGCAAGCCUGAUGCAGCAACGCCGCGUGCGGGAGGACGGCCUUCGGGUUGUAAACCGCUUUCAGCAGGGACGAAGCUUUUUGUGACGGUACCUGCAGAAGAAGCACCGGCUAACUACGUG